rnacentral:tRNA from 1 species
GGGGGCGUAGCUCAGGGGCAGAGCAGCUGGCUUUUAACCAGUUGGUCGCAGGUUCAAUUCCUGCCGCCCCCACCA